UCGGGACCUCUUCGAGAGGUUUCGGUGCUGAAGGGAAGCCGGAUAGUGUGCUACCUGGGAAGUAUAGUCGCAAGGCCGAAACUUAAAGGAAUUGGCGGGGAGACACUACAACGGGUGACGCGUGCGGUUCAAUUGAACUAUACACCGGGAACCUUACCAGGAGCGAUAGCAGGAUGAAGGUCAGCCUAAAGGGCUUACCUGACACGCUAAGAGGAGCUGCAUGUCCGACAUCAGCCUGUGCCGUGAGGUGACCUGUUAAAUCAGGUAACAGGCGAGACCCACAUGCAUAUUUAUUUUCUAUAUACAAAUUGCCCUGGUAACAUGGAUGAAAGCGUGGGCAAUGUUAGGUCUAUAUAGCCCAAAUCCCCUGGGCAACACGCGCGCGUCAAAGGUGAAUACAACGAGAUGCAACUCCGAAAGGAGAAGCCAAUCUCUUAAAGUUCAUCUCAGUCUAGAUCGAGGUUUGUCACUCAGCCUCGUGACAAUGGAAUCCGAACCAAUCGUUUGUCAACAGCGAACGGUGAAUAUGUCACUGUCUCUUGCACACACUGACCGUCAAACCAACCGAGUUUAUUUAUGAUGAAACUUUUCUAAGGAUAAUUUUGGGUAGACAAGGUAGGUUAAGUCGUAACAAGGUAGCC
rnacentral:rRNA from 1 species